CCUACGGGGGGCAGCAGUGAGGAAUAUUGGUCAAUGGGCGGAAGCCUGAACCAGCCAAGUAGCGUGCAGGAUGACGGCCCUACGGGUUGUAAACUGCUUUUGUACGGGAAUAACGCGCCUUACGCGUAGGGCUUUGCAUGUACCGUAUGAAUAAGGAUCGGCUAAUUCCGUGCCAGCAGCCGCGGUAAUACGGAAGGUCCGGGCGUUAUCCGGAAUUAUUGGGUUUAAAGGGGGCGUAGGCCGCAUGUCAAGCGUGCUGUGAAAUUUGCGGGCUCAACCCGGGCCUUGCAGCGCGAACUGGCGUGCGUGAGUCCGCGAAAAGCAGGCGGAAUGCGUGGUGUAGCGGUGAAAUGCUUAGAUAUGACGAAGAACCCCGAUUGCGAAGGCAGCGUGCCGCAGCGGAACUGACGCUGAUGCUCGAAAGCGCGGGUAUCGAACAGGAUUAGAUACCCUAGUAGUC
rnacentral:rRNA from 1 species